GUACACGCUGUGACUAGCAUAUCAAUAAGCGGAGGAAAAGAAACUAACAAGGAUUCCCCUAGUAACGGCGAGUGAAGCGGGAAGAGCUCAAAUUUGAAAUCUUAAAGGGUUUCCCUUUACGAAUUGUAGUUUAAAGAAGUGUUUUCUGUUGAGGUUUUGGUAAAAGUUCUUUGGAAUAGGACAUCAUAGAGGGUGAGAAUCCCGUAUUUGACCUUUACUUUCAACUUUGUGAUACACUUUCAAAGAGUCGGAUUGUUUGGGAAUGCAGUCCAAAAUGGGUGGUAAAUUUCAUCUAAAGCUAAAUAUUGGCGAGAGACCGAUAGCGAACAAGUACCGUGAGGGAAAGAUGAAAAGAACUUUGAAAAGAGAGUUAAACAGUACGUGAAAUUGUCAAAAGGGAAGCGUUUGAUCACCAGUGUUGUUUUUCUGAAAAUCAAUUAAAGAACUGUUUAUGCUAAGCUGUUUAGACUUUAUCAGCUAAUCUGUUUAGUUUUGAGCUUUUCUUUAAUGCACUUUUCAGUUAACAAGUCAACAUCAAUUUCUUUUGCUGUAAAAAAGCUUGAGGAAGGUGGCUUGAGAUUCGUCUUAAGUGUUUAUAGCCUCUUGCCUAUGCAGUCGGAGAGAUUGAGGUCUGCAGCGUAGAUCCUUCGGGGCUAAAUGCAUUUGUGCUAAGUUAUAGCAUUUCAGUAGACAACUUGUUGACUAUGAUUUGUCUUGUAGCUUAGCUCGCUUAUGUUAUUUUACCUACGCUUAGGAUGUUGACGCGCGUGUGUGCGUG
rnacentral:rRNA from 1 species